GGGGGGGAAAAAAAAAUAUAACCCCGAAACAAAGUUGCGAGAAGGGAAACAACACUGCCAUAGCCCCUCACCAAGUCACCACCUUUUGGCCUUCCAAUGACACACUGCCGUCACUGCAGAUCCCCUCCGUGGCCUCUAGCAACUCCUAAGGAGCAAUUCCGAUUGCUGGAAGUCACUGAUAAGCAAAUAUCUGAACAGGUCACAACCUGAAUCUCGACUCUUUCCAAAAUCCAUCGUUUUCGGCAUAUGCACCCUCCUUGAUGCUCGCGGGGAGUCAACAUUUUCCCUACCGUCAGAACUCAACGCCAAGCUUUAACCUGAUGGGUAUGGGAGAAGCUCAUCCAGCAGUUGUAAGCUGCGUUGCACUAGAUUCUUCCGUGUCUUGACACCUCUUUACCACGUAAUCAGCUGUGUAACUGCCAUCCUAGCAUAUAGUGCCAUGCCAUAUGCUACAUGAGUAGUUUUUUUAUGGGACUUUCUUUUGCUAAUUUGGAAGUGUUGAUUCCAUUUUGAUGUCCACUUUGGGUAAAAAUGACUCCUGAGGGCUGAAAUUUCAAGUUUGUUCAUUGAGGUACUUUUUUUUUCCAAUUAUAAUAAAAUGUUGUGGAUUGAUAACAAAGGACUACAGAAUGAAAUUAAUGAUUUUAAGGUACAAUUAGAUGAAUUAUGGGAUACA
rnacentral:misc_RNA from 1 species